rnacentral:tRNA from 1 species
GGACGGGUGGCCGAGCGGUCAAUGGCAGCAGACUGUAAAUCUGCCGGGUUCUCCCUACGUUGGUUCAAAUCCAACCCCGUCCACCA